CGGCGGACGGGUGAGUAACGCGUGGGUAACCUGCCCUGUACACACGGAUAACAUACCGAAAGGUAUGCUAAUACGAGAUAACAUAAGAAAUUCGCAUGUUUUUCUUAUCAAAGCUCCGGCGGUACAGGAUGGACCCGCGUCUGAUUAGCUAGUUGGUGAGGUAAUGGCUCACCAAGGCGACGAUCAGUAGCCGACCUGAGAGGGCGAUCGGCCACAUUGGAACUGAGACACGGUCCAAACUCCUACGGGAGGCAGCAUG
rnacentral:rRNA from 1 species